rnacentral:rRNA from 1 species
GACGAACGCUGGCGGCGUGCUUAACACAUGCAAGUCGAGCGGAAAGGCCACUUCGGUGGUACUCGAGCGGCGAACGGGUGAGUAACACGUGAGUAAUCUGCCCUUGGCUUUGGGAUAGCCACCGGAAACGGUGAUUAAUACCGGAUAUGCACUACUUCUCGCAUGGGUUGUGGUGGAAAGUUUUUCGGCCAGGGAUGUGCUCGCGGCCUAUCAGCUUGAUGGUGAGGUAAUGGCUCACCAUGGCUUCGACGGGUAGCCGGCCUGAGAGGGUGACCGGUCACACUGGGACUGAGACACGGCCCAGACUCCUACGGGAGGCAGCAGUGGGGAAUAUUGGACAAUGGGCGGAAGCCUGAUCCAGCAACGCCGCGUGAGGGAUGACGGCCUUCGGGUUGUAAACCUCUUUCGGUAGGGACGAAGCGUGAGUGACGGUACCUACUAAAGAAGCACCGGCCAACUACGUGCCAGCAGCCGCCGUAACAC